GACGAACGCUGGCGGCGUGCCUAACACAUGCAAGUCGAGCGAGUGGAGUUCUUCGGAACAAAGCUAGCGGCGGACGGGUGAGUAACACGUGGGCAACCUGCCUCAUAGAGGGGAAUAGCCUCCCGAAAGGGAGAUUAAUACCGCAUAAGAUUGUAGCUUCACAUGAAGUAGCAAUUAAAGGAGCAAUCCGCUAUGAGAUGGGCCCGCGGCGCAUUAGCUAGUUGGUGAGGUAACGGCUCACCAAGGCGACGAUGCGUAGCCGACCUGAGAGGGUGAUCGGCCACAUUGGGACUGAGACACGGCCCAGACUCCUACGGGAGGCAGCAGUGGGGAAUAUUGCACAAUGGGGGAAACCCUGAUGCAGCAACGCCGCGUGAGUGAUGACGGCCUUCGGGUUGUAAAGCUCUGUCUUCAGGGACGAUAAUGACGGUACCUGAGGAGGAAGCCACGGCUAACUACGUGCCAGCCGCCGCAGUAAGAC
rnacentral:rRNA from 1 species